UACGGGGGGGCAAGCGUUGUUCGGAAUUACUGGGCGUAAAGGGCGCGUAGGCGGCCUGCUAAGUCGGAUGUGAAACUCCGUCGCACACGAGGAACUGCAUCCGAUACUGGCGGGCUUGAAUCCGGGAGAGGAUGUGGAAUUCCAGGUGUAGCGGUGAAAUGCGUAGAUAUCGGGAAGAACACCAGUGGCGAAAGCGCAUUACUGGGCCGUAACUGACGCUAAGGAACGAAAGCCAGGGAGCGAAAGGG
rnacentral:rRNA from 1 species